GCAAAACGCGAAGAACCUUACCCACCUUUGACAUGUACGGAAUCCUUUAGAGAUAGAGGAGUGCUCGAAAGAGAGCCGUAACACAGGUGCUGCAUGGCUGUCGUCAGCUCGUGUCGUGAGAUGUUGGGUUAAGUCCCGCAACGAGCGCAACCCUUGCCAUUAGUUGCUACAUUUAGUUGAGCACUCUAAUGGGACUGCCGGUGACAAACCGGAGGAAGGUGGGGAUGACGUCAAGUCCUCAUGGCCCUUAUAGGUGGGGCUACACACGUCAUACAAUGGCUGGUACAAAGGGUUGCCAACCCGCGAGGGGGAGCUAAUCCCAUAAAGCCAGUCGUAGUCCGGAUCGCAGUCUGCAACUCGACUGCGUGAAGUCGGAACCGCUAGUAAUCGUGGAUCAGAAUGUCACGGUGAAUACGUUCCCGGGUCUUGUACACACCG
rnacentral:rRNA from 1 species